rnacentral:piRNA from 1 species
UAUCUUUCCCUUCAGAGCUGGAACAUAGC